rnacentral:rRNA from 1 species
GAUGAACGCUAGCGACAGGCCUAACACAUGCAAGUCGAGGGGUAGCAGGAUGUAGCAAUACAUCGCUGACGACCGGCGCACGGGUGAGUAACGCGUAUGCAACCUACCUUCUACAGGGGGAUAGCCCGGAGAAAUCCGGAUUAAUACCCCAUAAAACAGGGACUCCGCAUGGAGAUAUUUGUUAAAGAUUAAUCGGUAGAAGAUGGGCAUGCGUUCCAUUAGCCAGUUGGUGAGGUAACGGCUCACCAAAGCAACGAUGGAUAGGGGAACUGAGAGGUUUAUCCCCCACACUGGAACUGAGACACGGACCAGACUCCUACGGGAGGCAGCAGUGAGGAAUAUUGGUCAAUGGGCGCGAGCCUGAACCAGCCAAGUCGCGUGAAGGAAGACUGCCUUAUGGGUUGUGAACUUCUUUUAUAUGAGAAUAAAAAGAGUUACGUGUAACUUAUUGCAGGUAUCAUAUGAAUAAGCAUCGGCUAACUCCGUGCCAGCCGCCGCCGUAA